AACAUAGCCAUUAGAAGAUCUUUAUGGUUUAACCUGCCCANUGUUGAAAAAUGAAUGGCCGCGGUACUCUGACCGUGCUAAGGUAGCGUAAUAAGUUGGCUUUUAAAUGGAGUCAGGUAUGAAUGGAUUAACUGGGUUUAGCUGUCUCAUAAGUGUUAUAUUGAAUUUACUGUCCAUGUGAAAAAGCUUGGAUUUUAUAGGGGGACGAGAAGACCCUUAAAAUUUUAUUAAAAACAGUUGUUAAUUGUUUGCAAUUUUGUUGGGGCGACAUAGAAAUAAUUAUAACUUUCUGUAAAAUAUUAGUCGGAAUUUUCAGGUAAAGAUAAAUUACUUAAGGGAUAACAGCAUAAUUCUAAAAUUGAGUUUGUGACCUCGAUGUUGGACUAGGAAGCUAGUGGGUUAGAUGCCUACUGUGGAAAUUCUGUUCGAAUUUUAACUCCU
rnacentral:rRNA from 1 species